rnacentral:tRNA from 1 species
UACCUCAGUGGUAGAGCACAGGACUUGUGAGCCUGAGGUCCCAGGUUCUAACCCUGG